rnacentral:rRNA from 1 species
AUGGCCAGCAAGCUAAUUGAAACUGUAGGGACUCCUCUUGUUGACAAGGAUGCUCUCAAUGCUCUUAUUCAAUUACUUCGAAUUAUUCAGCCUAUUUACAAGGGCCAGCUGGAGAGGCUUCUCUUGAACCUUUGUGAUCACCUGGAAAGCAGAAAGUUGCUGGUUCAAAUUCUGGUGGACAUGCUUAUGCUUGAUCUGCAGGGAUCUUCUAAGAAAUCAAUGGAUGCAACUGAGCCAUCAUUUAGGCUGUAUGGGUGCCAUGCAAAUAUCACAUAUUCACGCCCUCAAUCCUCAGAUGGUGAUUCUCAUGAGCUCGCAUUGAGAGAGAGAUUUCAAGUGUCCAUAAGAGGAUAA